rnacentral:rRNA from 1 species
CCACCACUUCCAUCUUAUCCCCUCGCUCUUUCUGGAGACCACACGAGGCAUCCUCGUCCUGCUCGCCCUUCAGUCCUCGAGUUCUCAAUCUCUCCUCCUUCCUGUGUUCUCACCAAAAUACACACCUAAUCCCCAUGAAACUGAGCUCGUUUUUGUUGCCUUCUCUGCUCCGCGCAACAUUUUUCCUCCAUAGAUCCAUGAGAGGGCGUCCAAAGGGCAGGACGACCGUGCUGCAAGCUCGUGCACCCGCUGCGUUACCAUGGUGUGCGACGGCGGAGACCGGUGCCGGCUGGGGCAGCGAUGCAGGAAAUGGCACACCUCGUUGCUGGAACCGGCCGACUGGAAAGCUGCAACCGGCAUCCGAUGAUGCUGGAACCAGUAAUCAUUUUUGCUACCACGGGCGUUUGGUUUUGCUGGAACCACCGCCAAAUUUGCAAGUUUGCUACUACUAACUUUCUGGUUUGCUGGAACAAGCUUGAAUUUUUGCUGCAUCGGCGUUUUUGACUUUUGCUGGGGGACAACUUUCAUUCUUUUUGUUUUGCAAUUUUUGCUACCACCGUUUCCUUUUUGCUGGAUCCGAUGCAAUUUUUUGCUACAUUCGGGAUGGAUGGAGCUGCAUGAUAGGGAGCUGCAUCUUAGUUUUUUGCUGGAACCGGGACACGGAUAGCUGCUACCAGCGAUUUUUUUGCUUCAACGGAGAUGAGACCCAGAGAGUUUUUUUGCUGGAAUGAAAUUUCUUCAUGAGGUGCGGUGGCGAGGCAUUUUUUUUGUGCUGUAAUUUGUGCUUUUUGCUGGAACCAUGUUUUGAUUUUGCUACAACGAGCAUUUGAUUUUGCUGGAACCGCCUGAAGCAGAUUUGGGACCAGUUUUUUUAGUAACUGAUUUUUGCUGCAACCAUCCAACCGGCGAGCGGGCCCGGCCGGUGAGCUGCUCCGGCGAGCGGCGACGGCGAGCCGGUGAGCGGGUCCGGCGAGCCGGCGAGCAGCGGCCACCGAGCUGCAAUCGUCGCUACAUGGAGCUAGAACCGCAGGGUCACGUUGCUGGCGCGAAACGCAGGAGGCGACGUCGGCGACCGGUGACGACGACGGCGACGGGCGGCGAGGGCAGCGACAGGGAAGCCAAGGGGGAGGUGCUUCGAGGCUGGCGCGUCGGCGUCCAUGAAAACUUUUUAUAAAAAAAGAAGACAUUCGAGGGAAAGGAAGAAGUGAAUCGUGCGGCUGCUGAUUGUUUAAUCGUACGAUGCUGGUACGACCGGCUCAAAUUUGGGCCGGUGCACCGGCGCCUAUCACUCGCCUUUGGCAAAUUAGUAGGCUUCCCCCUUACCUACUUGGGCUUCCCGAUCACCUUGGGCCGCCUGAAGAAAGAAGUUCGUGUUUGAUCGCAUCAGAGCGGAACUUGCUGGCUGGAAGGGCAGACUAAUGAACCACGCAGGGCGUAGAGCACUGGUGCGUUCUGUCCUCUGCACGAUCCCCAAUUUUGCUCUCGCAGCAGUUCAGGCGCCGGCGGGGUUCUACAGGGACGUGGACAAAGUUUGCAGGCGAUUCCUUUGGGCACAGGAGGGCCACAGCUGAGAGGUGGGAAGUGCAAAGUAAACUGGCCAUCUGUAUGCACUCCGGUGGAAUACGGUGGGCUAGGCAUCCAUCCAUGAUAUGGAAAAGUUUGCAAGGGCACCAAGGUCUUAAGGAGUUGAUGGGCCGUGCAUUCGCCCAUCCAUGGGGGUGCUCAUCAUGGGGGCGUCUCGGAGUUGAUGACAUCGUGUGUUUGCCGAUCCUUCAGAUCGGCGGCGUUAGGGUUUAUGGAUGGUGUCGGCGAGGCGGCGGCGAUGACUCCAUCAGGUGUGUCUCUCCUUCUGCUCUGUCCAUGUUGCUACGGCGUUAUCUUCGACGUCAUGGUGAAGCAGGGAGGUUUUAUCGUCUAGGAGUACGCGCAAACGGUUGUCUACGCAAGUGACAGCUGGAAGAUGGCGCAUCUUGUGUUGGGUUUGUUGUUGAAGUCUGAUAGUCCUGGUUUCCUCCUCCGACGUCAUAGUCGUGCGAGGGUGUCAGUUCUAGAGUUCGAUGGCAUGUCUGGGAACAUGUUGGUCCGAUCUGAUUCUUUCAACGGCAAUGGUUUUGCUUCACGCAAACUAUUUUUGAGGUGCGUAAAGCUGCUGAUCAGCGAUGGAGCUGCGUCGAGCUCGUGUGAAGAGGUGAUAUGUCUCCUUUUCCUUGGUGGAGAGGGACAUGUGCUGGUUUUUGCAUAGGAUUAUCCUAUCUUUUCAGUCUUGUAAUAUCGAUAUUUAUGUGGCUUGUAACUGAAUCUUUAUUUUAUUAAUGAGACACGUAUUAUCAUGAAGAAAAAAAGGCACUAAGGUUACGCUGGCUAUGGCUGUCCUGGUCAGUGCCAAGCAGGCCAUUGUUUGGUUAUGAACUUCCAUGCGAUCAGAAGGACAGAUCCAGCUGGAUUUGGUUCUUUUGCCGCCCCUCUCUCCCCUCUCGGGGAGCACAUGUAAAUUUUGCUACUCCCUUCAAGGAUAGGGUCUUUAAAAAUAAAAGGUUUACGCUAAUUAACUCCCAUGCGCGUGUUUGUAAUUGGCAUCCAGAUUUUGCGGCUAAAUUAGAGGUGUCUCGCCCCUAUAAGAUUUGUUUCCCUGCCUCCCAUUUCCUGCUGCGGGGCCCAUCCCUGACUUCCCUCCAUGCCCUCCGUUACAUUCCCCUAAUGCCGCCAUCGCACCUCGCCGCCACCGCGGCACAAUCUCCGGCCUCAUCGCGAGGUCGGCGUCCCCGCCAUGGCGGCGCGAUGAUAUCCGCCUCCUGCUGUCGCACCGCGGCCCUCGCCUCCCUCCUCGCGGCCGCCGCGGCCACAUCGUUCCUCACCUUCUCGCUGCCAUUGUCCCCCGGCGUGUCCACCACCAAGCACACGGGAGAAUUGUCCGCCGCGAGCUCGACGCCGCCGCCACAUCCAACAUUGGCUACGGUGUCACCUCCACCGCCCGCAGAACCAGCUAAGUCCGCGGCGAGGCCUCGAAAACGAGAGGUACGUACGUGUCCGCAUGCAGGUUGGGGAUUGAAAGUAACGGCGUUGUCUAUUUUCGUUCUGUGUCGUGGUGAUCAGCCGUCGUAUUGGAGGAUGGCGCCGGAGGAGGCGCUGAGGUACGCCAAGAAGGAGAUAAUUGCCGCUGAGCCGGUCGUCGCCGCCGACCCCGACGACCUGUACGCGCCUCUCUUCAAGAACGUCUCCCAGUUCAAGAGCGAAAAUGUGAUCAUCAUCCAGGAGCUACCAACUGAUGGAACGGACACUCAAAGUUUACAUUUACCAGGACGGUCGGCGGCCCAUCUUCCACACCCCUCCACUCAGCGGCAUCUACGCGUCCGAGGGCUGGUUCAUGAAGCUCCUCAAGGAGAGCAGGCGGUUCGUCGUCGCCGACGCCGCCAAGGCACACCUCUUCUACCUGCCCUACAGCUCGCAGAAUCUCAGGCUCUCGCUCUACGUGCCGGACUCGCAUAACCUGCGCCCCCUCUCCGUCUACCUCAGAGAUUUCGUCAAGGGCCUCGCCGCCAAGUACCCCUUCUGGAACCGCACCAGAGGCGCCGACCAUUUCCUCGUCGCCUGCCACGAUUGGGGACCAUACACGACCACGGCGCACCGCGACCUCUCCAGGAACAGCAUCAAGGCGCUGUGCAACGCCGACAGCUCGGAGGGGAUCUUCACGCCCGGGAAAGACGUGUCUCUCCCGGAGACGACCAUCAGGACGCCCAAGCGGCCCCUCCGGUACCUCGGCGGGCUCCCCAUCUCCCGGCGGCGCAUCCUCGCCUUCUUUGCGGGCAACGUGCACGGCAGGGUCAGGCCGGUCCUCCUCCAGCAUUGGGGCAAGGGGCAGGACGAGGACAUGAGGGUGUACGCUCUCCUCCCCGGUAGGGUGUCCAGGACGAUGACCUACAUCGACCACAUGAAGAACAGCAGGUUCUGCCUGUGCCCCAUGGGGUACGAGGUGAACAGCCCAAGGAUCGUGGAGGCCCUGUACUACGAGUGCGUGCCAGUGAUCAUCGCCGACAACUUCGUGCUCCCCUUCAGCGACGUGCUCGACUGGAGCGCCUUCUCGGUGGUGGUGGCGGAGAAGGACAUACCGGACCUCAAGAGGAUACUCCAGGGGAUCUCGCUCCGGAGGUACGUGGCCAUGCACGACUGUGUCAAGCGGCUGCAAAGGCACUUCUUGUGGCACGCAAGGCCCCUCAGGUAUGAUCUCUUCCACAUGAUCCUGCACUCCAUUUGGCUCAGCAGGGUGAACCAUGUUCAACUUGACAACUGAAAAAAGAUCAUGUCCAUGUAUUUUUAUGGCACUGAGAUUUUACAUGUAAGAUGGCGGUUUUGAAUGAAAAAGAAAAAUGUGUACAUUCAAGUUGUAAGCCUCUGUCACCAUUGAGUGCACGGUGACUACUGACAAGUACUCCCUCUGUAAACUAAUAUAAGAGCGUUUAGAUCACUACGCUCUUAUAUUAGUCUUAGUCUACA